GCCUCAGAACAUCAGUUUAUCUCUUGACCAUCUUUCUUUUUAGCUAGUCGCAUGAUCACCACUGUUUUGGCACAUUAUGUCCUUAGUUGACGAUGCACCAAUAAAACAUAUAUCAUCAUCCUAUGUGCCACUCAGUUGAUCUUUCCUCGUGAUAUGCGCGCAGGGAAUUCGUUAUACGUAGUGGUAACCGUGACAGGUCGGUUCCCCAGCCAAUUGACGGGAGAAGCGUUAUUCUAGUACAUGUAUUUCAGGAAGAGCAACUGAGCAAGCUACAUUUUGGUUGCUAUUUCAAACAAAGAAGGCUAUGAAAUGCAUAAGUUGCAGCAAGUGGGCUGCUUGAGCUCUGCUCAAAUGCUGCUCUAGUCCUUCUUUCAAGUACAUCCCUAGCGAAAAUAGUACUUAGCUGAGAUCCAUAAUGGAUGCAACUAGGACAUGUAAUGCUCCGUGCUGGAACCCCUUGAUGAGUCCAGCUAGCACUCCGUAAUGGAUCUAGCUGGACCUCACCCUGAUGGACUUAGCUGGAUGUAUUCACUUUAACGUUGCCACCGCUAGACUGCUACUAGUUAUCCUCAGCUCAUUUUACAUAAUUGUACACAUAUUUUGUUUAUGCGCGUACAUGUUGAAACCGUUUUUGCAUCACCUUUUCUCAAGUUUCAGCAGGUCUUACAUUUUCUUGGAGAGUUUUCACGUGUACUCCCUUUUAGCUCCCCCAGUGUCUGACAGUGGCUGCAGGACAAACAAUGAAGGUCUUCAAGUGUUGCAUGGCGAACUAGCACUGGGAACGGGACGGGGUUCUUCACUGUGAUGUCAUUCCUUUCUUGUUCAUCGGGCCUAGCACCUGUCCUGUCGUCUCUUCUCUCUGUCCCGUUCCCAGUGCUAGUUCGUCAUGCAAGAUCAACACCAACACACCCGGUUUUUCGCUUUUAGGUCUUCAAAUGCUCUCACGCAGUGUGUUCAAAAAUGCGACUUUUCUUGCGCCAGAAUGCUUCGAGGCACUUCCAUCACUGCUGCCACCAUGGCGAAUGUCCCGUUCGUCAGAUGAAACUAGGAAAUAAAAAAAAAUAUGUGUGACUUACAGGCACCUUGCGAAGUUUUAGAAAAAAAUUAGUACCACCAAAACUUGCUAGCAUACCUGAUCUUACAUAUGUGAAAUCUUCACAGAUGCCUGCACAAAAUGUCGUAUCACUACAAUUCCAUAAUCACAGUGCAAGAGUGUGUCCAAUUAAUUAUGGCUGUAAUGGACCUGAUAGCGGUGCUUCUGUCAUGAAGUGCAAAGUUGUACAAAGAUAAAUGUGGUGUGCACAGUAAGAACUGCUCACUUGGGACAGUACUACUGUUGUGUACAUAUGAGGCCAACUCUUAAAGUAAACGGAAAGAGGUCAUAUGGAGCAAGAGUUCUUGGAACAGAUAGUGCAUGUUGGAGCAGAAAUGGAGAGUCCUUCACACAGUUUUAAGGGCAUUUAACACUACAAAACAAAACACAAAACCGCAACAAAACAUCAAGACUGAGAACGGUGUCGCUCUCUGCGUUCCAUGUUUUGUCGAUAUCAAUGUCACACUGGCAAGACGGCAAAACCAAGACUUCUACGAGACACAUGUUCUUGCAGUGUGAAAUACUUCAGCGACAAAAACAUCAACAAAACAUGUAGUUUUCACUGCUUUGGUGGCAGACCAAAUUUCGGGUGGCAUAAAUCACAAAAUCUUGCAUGUUUAUGGCUAUCUAGAGGUGCGCGUUGUGGUGACCAUUGCCACUCUCGGGGUCGUGCUCGCCCGUCCGGCCCGUGAAAGCAACUCAGAAACCAAGUCAAUGCAUCCAAGUUUUAUUUACCUCCGUGCCUCCGCAGUUUACACGAGUCCAUCCACCAAGGAGAGCCUUCCUGUACCUUCUCCCUUCUGCUCCUUCAAUCCCUUUCUCUUAAAGCACCACCACGCCCCCCUUCCUGAACAGCGGACCGAUAAGGACUGCGUCCUCUAUCGACAUGUUGCCGAUAUACGUGGAAGAGUGCCCACAUUUCCCCCAUCCCAAAAGUAUGUACACAGUGGAAGACAAUCACGAUUAAGCGUCCAGGUCCAGGUCGAUGAGGUCAUCGUCACCGGCGGGGGCAGGAGAGGGUUGUCUGGGUUGCCCCUCGGUCUCGCGUAGCAGCUCCGGACGGAGCCGACGGAGGGUCGAGAGGGCGGUGGCCACGUCGAUCGUCUCAGGGCGGUGGGCCUGCUCAACACGAGAUCGGUGCAGGUUGCCGCGCCGGUGAGUUGCUCGGUGCAGCUCAGGUACCUGACAGACGGGGCAUAACUUGCUCUCCUCUUCGGGUGACCAAGGCUGAAGAGGAUCAGCUGGGUUCCGCUCUGACAUGGUGAGUCCCCUGAACGGUGCUGGGGCAGAGGCCAGGUCAGCAGUCCUAAGGAGGCGUGGCUGCGCCGACCACCGGCUAUGUGACGCCCAAGAAACUGGGUACCCUUGAUGCACUACGGUCCACGUCGACGCCGACCUGUGGGUGGGUCCGGGUGACCGGGAACGGGCGUACUGCGUCGACCGAGGGAACCGAGAUGCCCAUCGAGAUGUCCUGGGUACGUUUUCGUAUUGAGGUUGGCGGUGCAUAGUAAACCUGGAAUAAAAAGGAAAAGGGAACGGCAGUAAGAGGGUAACUCCGUACCGCGAGCGCCUGGAAAAGCCCUCCCCAAAUGUAAACGUGGAAGUCCGCGUAACGGAAAUCACAGUAAUAGAUACUACAUCGCGAGCACCAGGUUUUGGUGACCGAAAAUAGUAACCGCUACGUGCGCUGCGUGCGCAUAGUGUCGUAGCUGAAAGCAGGUCCGGAAGGAACCAAGCGUAGUUGAUGCAAUGAGGGCCUCUCUAGGUCCCUAAUUGCGGUGAUCGACCUCUGCUGAAAUACGAAGGGAUCAAAUGCUUGGAGGAACAACACAUUAGAAGCAUGGUUUGCUCAUCCCACCAGCUAAAAGCCGGUACUCGGUUGAGUAGACGACAAAGUCACUAGGAAGAUAUCGUGUAAGUACGAUCUUCCCACGCUAUCGCUUCAGAGCUAUCAAAGUGAUACGCUCGGAGAUACAUGCGAAAGGGGGGUGGCAGUGGCGAGAAUAGCUUGUGCCAGACGUCUGAUAUCAGUGCAGCAUACAGGAUGCACGUGAUUAUUACUGCGUUGACGGUCCUCAUGACAGUCUGAUAGGCAGUCAUGCUGGCUACGAAGUCUGGUUCAGACCUCUAGUCUGUGUAACGGUACUAAGUGAGCACCAAAUAGAUUUUGGGGAAGGCACUGCAGAUACCAUAACCCCAAGAACGUGACUGCCCGGCAAAUCGGGUCACCGUCAACAGGCCUACGUCCGACCGAUGUGACUGGUCGGUGAGGAAUCUCCCCUUGGGGGCGGGUUUCGUAUCCGUGGUCGGGGCGCGCCGGGAGCCAGUCCGCGCCUGGACCUCCAGUGAAGCGACUGCAAGACUCGAAAACAUGGGAAUGCACAAUAAAAAAAGGAAACAUCCGAGGCUUCGAGUUACCGUAUUCCCUACCAAUUUCAAAUAGUGGCAAAAAAAGAAACGUAAUUAGCUAGAAAAAGAGAGGAAACUUGAGUAACUGACGACGUCCCUCACGUGGCCGGGCACACGAGCAGGUUCUGCAACAAGGGGCGUUAACCACCCACUUCGGCAGCGCAGGUAUCGUGAGGCCAGAGUAAUAAUAAAUUUAAAAACAACGCGGUUUUCCGGCUAAACUGUCCCCGAGACAGGAAAGCCAACCGGCACCGGGACAACAGCGCGAGGCUGUUCAAACAGUCCCGAAAAACAAAACACAUUCAAAAACAAGGAAAAACCUACCCUGGCCGCAUCCUCCCGCCACCGAACGCACGUGUACAUCCCUAAACCAAUUGGGCGCCAAAAUGUGGGGACCAUUCCCACUCUCGGGGUCGUGCUCGCCCGUCCGGCCCGUGAAAGCAACUCAGAAACCAAGUCAAUGCAUCCAAGUUUUAUUUACCUCCGUGCCUCCGCAGUUUACACGAGUCCAUCCACCAAGGAGAGCCUUCCUGUACCUUCUCCCUUCUGCUCCUUCAAUCCCUUUCUCUUAAAGCACCACCACGCCCCCCUUCCUGAACAGCGGACCGAUAAGGACUGCGUCCUCUAUCGACAUGUUGCCGAUAUACGUGGAAGAGUGCCCACAGCGUUCACAGACAUCAACAUCGGGGCACAAUUUUUUGUGUGUUUAAUUUGCAACGUCCCCCGUUGCUGGGAUGCCGGAGCACAGAAAAAAUGGGAGAAACAGUAUCGUACACAAAACAGAACUUCACCACGUAAACGAGUCACUUCUGAUUCGAAGGGGACUGGGAGUACGCCUACGUAAAAGGGACAUUGCUGUGAUUAUCGCACUGCAAGCUAUUGUAAAAUACAAAUUGUCCUUGCUGACUGGACAAGGUGAUGUAAGUCGAUUUGGAAGCUUCAGUGAACUGUGAACACACUCUCUCAUGCAACAUGUGCAAUAUUUCUGUGCAAUUACUACAUGCUGUGAUGGCAAACUGUGACGCAAGAUAGACUGAGGGAAAGCAGUGAAGAAUGUAGAUAACCAUCGGUGAUGAAGCGGAUGCCCCUGGCUAUCUGCCAAACUCAAAAGGAGAUUCAGGAAUACGGCAUUUGGAUAACACACUGAUAGUUUACUAGCACUCUGGUAUGAUACAUACAAUGAAUAAAUGACUGGAAAGAUAUACCUAGCAAUUUGGGUGAUGAAGGGCUGAAUGUGCUAAAGUAAGGAUCCAAUGUCCAUGGCUAACGAUGUACGAUGAUGAAUGUCAUACGAUGAACGCACAACAGCUUGUGGCGUGCGCUUAUAGCAUGUAACAGCGCCACUGCUGGCUCAUGACAAUGACGGUGAGGCCGAAUGAACAGUUUGGCUCUCACAUGCCCACAUCUAACAGAAAUGAAAUGUCCUCAUUUCGUUAUUACAGUGAGGAAAAAAUUAAACGUUAAAAUAGUGGUAAUGAAUAAGCUUAACAGUUCCAUGUCAAAGCUGUUCUGAAACAGGAUAAAAACAAAACAAAUGAGAACGUUAUUCAUGCCAGGGUCCUUGGCAGAACCAUGCAGCAUCUUUUGUCGUGAAAUGCAGAACAACCUAGAUUGAAGAGCGUUUAAUAAUCCACCCUCGAAGGAAGAAGUAGAAUGUCCUUUAUUCUAAACACAUUGUGAAUUUGUUGACAUUGAAGUACAUUAAAAUUAAUACUCAAGAGGAUAUGUUAAUAGUACAUGACAUAGCACAGCACAGCACAGCAUAAAUAGCAUAGUGACAUGUAAUACAUACACAGUGAGUGAUGUGAAGUUGAAGCGAACUAGUGUGAUAAGUGACACUAAAUUCAAAAUGUGCAAAGUGUUGAUCUGAAGAGGUCAGUAAAAGGGGAAAUGCUAAACGGCAACAAUGUAACGUGCGUUUGAGUGUGUCGAACACAACAAUUCGAAUUCUAAUUCGAACAUCGAAUGUCACGUUCGAAAUUGCGAACAACUGACAAAUGCAAAAAGAUGCAAUGAAAAAACUGAAGAUGCAAUUAAUGGGUGACAAAAAGUGAAGUGGAAGUGGUUGAUCCUUGGAUGUUGUGGUGCUACAAAGUAUAAAAGCAUAUAUGAUGUUAGUGACAAUAGCAACUUGAAGAGAAACAGUUAUGUUGGCUAACUUCACUUCCACGACGGCUUUGCCGAACGGCAUGGACUCGUUCUCAACGGCGAUCAUUGCUGCGUCACUCCACAGUGUUAUGUUAAAGGUCAGAUAUGCCGAUUUUGAAGUGCCGCAGAACUGAGCGAUACUCGCGCUGUGUGUUCAUUACCUAACACUGAAUAUGUGUGCGAAAUAUCUUGCUCCAACUGUUCGUAGUUUUUUAGAAAACAGUUUUUUUAGUUCCCACGCCCGGCCGUCAGACCGUCGGCAAACCCUGCGCACGGGCGCACCGACGUCACUGCUCUCGGUUUAUCUGUCUUUGGCUUGGCAUGCACUCUUGGCUUGGCCGCUUGGCUUCUUUCGCUUCGUCCUCUGUGCAUCGUACAUAAGCGAACAGCUGUUACGUUAUUGCUAAGCCGGAAACAAAGCAUGUGAAUAUUUUUUUUUGGCACGGCGUCGUUUGGAAAGUGCACUUCCUUGUUCUGACCUUGCCUUUUAUGGGCUGGAGCGAUAUGCCACGGCGAAGUUGUCGAAGAUGCGACGGUGCUACGUGCUACGCUGUUAGAACAAUUCAUCGGAGCAUUCAAGUGUUACCUUUUAUAAGCUGCUAAAAGACCAAGCAGUGCGAAGCUCUUGGCUGACAGUGGUGCCUGCUAAUUUCCACUGCAAGGAUUUCGUCAACGAAUGUUAUCAUAGGUUACGCGCGACUCCAGAGGCAAUUUGGAAUAUCGGCACGAAAUCGUCGGAUGAAAAUCUGAGGUGCCCGACGCACAACAUUUUGAACGUGCCACAGAGGAUCAAGGCAAAAAACGAGAGCAAAAAAGGUGCACGCUGAAGGCGGAAAUGAAGCAUGAUCUGGCUUGCAUCUGGUGCAUGAAGAAAUUGCUGGCACGUUAGUUGCAGUCUACCUCCACCAACAGACAUCUUGACACCACUUUUAAAUCUGCCCUCAAAGUUACAACCUGUGCUUUCGGGGUGGAAAACAAAGGUCGCCAUUCCGAUUAGCUGCUAUCUCCCAGUUCAAGCACUUUUGCUGUCUGGACACUGGUUCCUGUGGAUGGGCUGUUACAAGCUUCACUGUCUGAUAUAGAAGUGAUGAGCAUCCAUAAGGACACAUGGCAGAAAGGGAGUCUCUUUGAGAUGACAAACCCUCAUCACCUCAUGAGGAUACAAUGGUUGACGAAUGGUUCUCAAGUACAUCGAAACUUCAACAAAUAAUUCAUGAAAAAGCCAGUCAGUGCUAGCACCAGGAAUUGAACGUGGACCGUCCUGCUACCAGUCAGAGAUGUUACAUUUCAGGCGCUCAUUGACUUUUGGUGAAUUACUUGUUGACUUUGUCCCAAGGUGGAGCUCGCCACAGCUCAUUUGUCUAUCCGUUAAUGUUGUGGCGUGUGUUGCGUUUUUCUCUUUGUGUGUUCCAGACUCAGAACGGUUAAUUUGGAUCAGAUCAGGUACGUUUCAUUUAGACAUGGCAAACAUAAAGUGGUGUUUCUCAACACAACUUAGCAGUGGCCUUCAUGCAUUACCGCUACGGCCAUGAAGCGUGAAUGGAAGGCUGCACAUUAUGCAUGAUGUAAAACCGCAAGACUAGGAACACGAUGGGACAAACACAAACACGUCCCUUUGUGUUCCCUAGUCACGGGGUUUUACAUAUGCAUCAUCUUCACCAGCUAACUUGCUUCCUAGCCAUUUUUUUCUGCACAUUAUGUUCACUCUACUUCUAUCGUGUGCUAUGUAAUCUUGUUCAAGUUCUGUCAAACGACGUGUAAUGCUAUAAAAAAAUUCAGUACACUGUUUAUGUGGGUUCAAUGGUAGCGCAUAAAUGCAGAAAGGGAACUGUCAUGUUAUGGAAAGUGUUUACGUAUUGUACAUUUAACUACUAAUUUUAUUGGUUAGCUUUCGCCGGCAUAUGAUGUCAAGCCAUGUUAUAUUAAUUUGGAACAUGUUCUUCUUAGUAGCCAGAGCAGCUGACACACAUUGAGAACAUAGCCCGUGUGUGUUUGUCUUUUCCACCGCAGCCCUUGGGUUUCCUCCCUGAUGGCUACACAUGUCAGGGAUAGGUUUCAGAACCGGUAGUUCCCGCCAAGUGUGAAUUACUUUUCAGGGGAUCAUCACGCUGGCAGAUGAAACAUAUCGUUUAAAUUAUUUGCAGGACAGGAAUUGCGUAGCUUCACACAAAUACUACUACUACGACGUAAGAGUGGUUUCAAAUGUAGUUUUUUUGUAUUCCUGACAUUAUCGCACGAGAUGUAGUAUCCACUAUGAUCCUUUAUGUGGGGGGUAUGUACAGUGCAAUCAACAGAUGCUAUUUACAAACCUGUGUUUUCUACUGUGUUGAAAUGGGGUAGAUUGUAUCUGAGAGAUAUAGUGAAACACAGGCAGCCAAGGACAGACUUUUGAUGCCCUCGAGAAACAUGGCAACACAUUGCAGGGAUUCUGGAUGCUGCAUAAAUUUCCAGAACACACAGCUCAAGGCAGCGGUUAAAUAACAAGUGGUUUGAGAAAUACAAGACAGUUGCACGUGUAAGCAGUCUGCUGUUGGAUUUGCUUCUGUCUGAGAUACGUUAUCUCAAAGGGAACGCACGGACACACUCCGAAUGAUACUAGGGCUGCCUGUGAAAUAGAAUGAGGAGAGGGGAAGAUAUAUAACCCUUUUUUCUUGUCUGUUAUUCUAUUGGUUAACUUGUCGUUUGCUUAGCAGCAUAUAUGUGUAUAUUCCAGAGUCUGCUAAUAAAUUAUAUCAGUUGAGAGCUAGCAGUCGCAUUGCAGAUGUCUCAUCCUGUCCUUGGCUGCUUGUGUUUCACUAUGGCCAUGCUUGCUAUUGCAAAAACAGAAAACAAAAAAAGACAAUAGAAAAACACGAAAAGAGCGACCUAAAAAGCUGCCUGUGCUAGUGCUCACAUGGAGGGAAUGCAAUGAGGUAGCGUGUUCCAUUCAUGAACUGUGCAUAGUAGUACAUAUCACAACGACAACCAAUUAUUCAGAUUUUUUUUUUAAGUACUUUGUUUUUUUUAGCUUUGUUUGCACAGUCUAUUAUUGGAGCUUUAUGUGACUCCCCUCUUGAGCUACUUUAAGAUUGCUGAUGCUGUGCAGUUUGUUAAUUUUGAAACUGUACUGUGCUGAGGUACAAAAACAGAAUUGUCAUAUCUGCAUUUGAGCACAUAGGAAUAAUUUGUAAGUACUUUCCUUGUUGACAUUAAUAUUUGCACCAGGUCACAACAUUGUUGAUUGAUGGAAAAUGUAAAUAAAUAUAUUUAUUUGCUUGCCAAACAAUGCACAAAUGUCUUCUUUUCUAGUGAGAUAUUCCCUGUUGACCAGAAAUAAAUG